AUUGAACGCACUGGGAUAGCUGUGGCUUUCAUCUUCCUAUUCCUUCUGCUCUGUUCCUACUGUGCCAUCAGGUACUGCUGUCCCCACAGAAGGGCCCGAUAACGUGAGCACAGCCAUGGAGAAAUCCCUUCUGAAGCUGAGCCUGUAUUGCAUGUGAAGCAAAUGAAUCGGACAGGCUCAUUCCUGCUUUUGUUUGCCUUUUGAUUCCGUUUUAAGCUUUGCCAUGAGAUGGGCCCUCUCGCCCCAGCACUAACUGCAAGCAGAAGGUGCGUCAGUGCUGACCGUGGCCCGUGCUUGUGUGCUGGAGUCAUUGUCGGGCAUUAAUUGCCACUUGCGCGUUCGUUUUCACUUGUACGUGCCGUUAACGCCUUGGCAGUUGGACGAUGGCCACACAGUGUCCAGCCGUGUCUGCAGGACCAGAGAUAUGUCUUGUGUGCAUGCUGGGAAAGAGGGCAAGGAGAAGAAACCCAGGAUCAUUGUGUUUGAAGCUGGGAGACAUGUCCUGAAGUCCCUCUGGCUGAAUAACUGUGACCAUCCCACCACCACCGCAGAAGGAAACAGCAAGCUUUUUUGUGAAUCCCUUUCCUAGCAGCAAGCCAGGAAAAACGGAGCGUUGGCUCUUGCUUGGACUGUCACACGCUUGAAUUCAAGCAAUGUUUUCUCCUUUGGCAGAGAAGGAGCGAAGCCACCCUCUGCUUUGGAAGCAGCCUCUGCUUCCCUUCCUGCCUCUCCCUGAGGAUUCCGGGGGUGCCAGCUGGGUCUCAGGGGGCAGCAAGCAGCUCUGUGGGGCUGGUGUCUCUGUGGCCAUGUUCCUUUGGGCAGCUCCCUAUGUGUGACACAGCACAGAGGGAGUCCCCAGAGUUGAAGAAGCCUCGGGACAGUGCUGGCUGACGUAGAGUUUGGACUCAGUGAUCCUUGCGGGUCCCUUCCAGCUCGGGAUAUUCUGUGGUUCUAGGAUCUGAGGGAAGGAGCACUUGUUACCAGGAAGCACGGGUCUCACAGAUGCCCUUUGAAGGUGCUGGGCAGGGCUGAAGUGCAGAGUUCCUGCAGCAGGGAUGCAGCGGAAGCCUGGAGGAAAAGCAGCUAUGGAGAUAACGGCAGCAGUGACAAUCAGAAGAGGUGGGAUCGAGCUCAGCUCCGAGACAACCCGUCGGCUGAAGCAGACAUCUGUUUCCGUGGAAAAAGUCAUCUGUUGCUGUGAUGAGCCUUUGCCGCUCCUUGCCUUGGGGGAGCUGGAAGGAAGGGAAGAAGGGAUGGAGGUGGCUGAUGUGCUGCUGAUCGGGCCUGGCUGUGCCUGAGCCAAAGACAAAGCACCUGUCAGCUCUGCUGUGGGCAGCCCUGCUUUGCUUCAGAGCCACACCUUUCACAAAAGCACGAGCAUCCUCAAACGCACCCAAGCUCCUGAUGUGCUGCCAAGGGUUUCUGCCAGGCUCUGCUUCCAUCGUGUGCGAGCACCAGGGCAGCCUGGAGAGUAAACAAUGUCCUUUAAUAGGAACAGCGGGCAGCUGCUUCUAGUGCAGGCAGAAAGGAGCGUUCCCCAUUCAGAGUUUGCACGGGGGAAGCAGGAAGGCAGAAGGGGAACCGAAAUGCCCUGAUUUGGAAGUAAGUCUCUAGUAGAAGGGCUGCUGUCUCGUGUGCUACGGCCAGGGGAGAUAUUUUUAUUCAGUGGGAAAUAUUCUGUGUCUGCUCAGAGAAGAGCUUCCAGCCUGAGUCUCCCAGCCCUCAGACAGUGUGACCAUGACCUAUGGCAGGCACAGGAGCUGCUGCCAGCUCCUCAGGGCCUCUGUGUGGGGCUGGGGCUGCAGCCCUCUCCCCAUUGCCCUUCCCCUGUCCUGAGGCCUAACCUGCUCCCUGCAGCCACCCCAUUUCCUGUGGCCUACCUUGCUCCCUGCACCCUGCAGGACCGGGAAGGGAGAUGCCAAAGUGUGAACAAGAAUGCAAGCAGCAAAAACAGUGAAGUGUGUGGGCAUCGCUCCCAUUUCCAUGAGAACGAGGAAAAGAAGGAGAUGGGGAGCCUGGCUCCAGCUGUUGGUUUCCUGCUGCACUGUCACCCACUGAUGGGCUCCCUCCUUGGCUCAUCAUGCUUUUCUCCCCUUUCCUCAUGCAGGCUAUUCUCAGUGGAGUCCAGCUGCUUGUCCUGCUCACUGCAAGCCCCAGGCUUUGAGGGCAAAGCACCUGCAGCUGGGGGGCUGGGAGAGGGCCUGCUGCAGGACUGUCAUCAUUAAGGUUGGAAAAGCCCUCCCUGGUGGGAGGUGACCUUUGGGGGACUGGGGUCUCUAGCUGGGAGGAGCGAGGAGAGCACCACAGCAGGCUCUUCACCCCCCUCACUGUGUGUCAUACAGAUUUCAGUCCCUGGGAGAUGUUCUGCAGGCAGAUUUUUUAUUUCUGAAGGGCAGGCAGCAGGGAAAGGAAAGGUUGAUCUCCCCUGGGAUCUUUCUACUUUAUUUUUACUUCUGUUUCUUUAAUCUGGAGGAAGGAACGGACUACGAGGGGCAUAAAUAAGAAGUAUGAGGCUGAAACCUUUGCCCAGGGUUGUGAACGAGUUUGUGCACGAGAGGUGCUCUGCUAAGGGGAGAGGUUCAUUUCAUUUAACCUCUGUUUUGUGCUGGAGGUGUGACCAGAGUGAUCCUCCCCUCCAAAGGUGAGCAGGGAGGCAGGGGACCACAGCCAAGAGUGAGCCACCGAGGGCCGUGAUGUGCCAAGCUCCAAGCUUAGUGCUUUGCUUAUUGGGUUUUCUUCUAAGCUCAGUAUUAACCGGUGCUGAGCAGCGCAAACAGAAGUCAGAAGUGAAGGUUAACGAGGGGUGGGGGCUUGUGUUUGGGAGGGUGGUGGCAAUGAGGGGGUUGCAUGCAGCAGUGUUCCCCCUCCCCAGAGCCCAGGAGGUAUUUCCUAGCAUCCAGCCAGCAGGCACAAAGUGUUUUAUCCCAGUCCUGGUGUUAUGAAUGAACCUUUUUAAUAGCCAUUCCCAUGCUCAGCCACAUAGCUCUUGGUUUUAUAAAUGCAUUUCAUUGCUUCUCCGUAUCUUCUUGAUGUGUGUGUAAUGCAAAAUCCCUUUAAGUAAAUUAAUGUGUGUUUUCAGCGAUUCCUUCUCAAGGUUAGUGUUAAUUUGAUGUGAAUGAUGGGAGCUGAAAGGCCCAUCAGCAGGGCAUUUUGAACAAAUCGAGGUGAUGGCUCUCUGGAGGAGCUGUUUGCGGUGGAGACUUCAAUCUGGAGCUAAAGGGUUCCCACGGUAUCUGCAGUCAGCUUUCCCCAGACAAGUCCCAACUCGGAGGCAGUUGCACAGCAGCGAUCCGACCCAACGCCGUCCCUCUGCAAGGAUGUCCCACUGGUGUCCUGCUGUCCAUCCCGCAGCAUGGGAGGGCUCAGCUGGCCGUGCCAACAGCCCCAACCAUUUGCCAUGGCUUGGGGAUCUCUGAGCACACAGGAUGCUCAGAACAGGAGGAAAACAAACACGGAUUGCUGGGUAGGUUAUGUUUGCUCACCUGCUGGGGUCUCAUGCAUUCCUGAGUAAUCUAGGCAAGUUUCACUAUGCUGAAACCUUUGAC
ensembl:lncRNA